rnacentral:rRNA from 1 species
UACGUAGGGCGCGAGCGUUGUCCGGAAUUAUUGGGCGUAAAGAGCUCGUAGGCGGCUUGUCACGUCGAUUGUGAAAGCCCGAGGCUUAACCUCGGGUCUGCAGUCGAUACGGGCUGGCUAGAGUGUGGUAGGGGAGAUCGGAAUUCCUGGUGUAGCGGUGAAAUGCGCAGAUAUCAGGAGGAACACCGGUGGCGAAGGCGGAUCUCUGGGCCUGUUCUGACGCUGAGGCGCGAAAGCUAGGGGAGCGAUCAGG